AAUUUGGGAAAUUCUUGAUGAAACGUGUACUGAGAUUUAUGUGUGCAUGUGUUCAGUGUGCUGAUGUGCACCAGAAUCCCCAAAGGCAGAGGUGGUAUGCGAGCCUUCAUAUGUGAGGUUGUGAUACAUGGAGCCAUAUUCCCCAGCAAGAGACAUAGCCAAGGUACUGGCUAUGGCCGAGGUCUCAUUAGAGGCCCAAUAUGAAAAGAACUGGCUCUGAACUAUGCAGGUUAUUGUCAGUUUAGCCA